UACGUAGGGGGGCUAGCGUUGUCCGGAUUUAUUGGGCGUAAAGAGCGUGUAGGCGGCCAGGUAGGUCUGGUGUGAAAACUCGAGGCUUAACCUCGAGAUGUCAUCGGAAACCAUCUGGCUAGAGUCCGGAAGAGGAGAGUGGAAUUCCUGGUGUAGCGGUGAAAUGCGCAGAUAUCAGGAAGAACACCAAUGGCGAAAGCAGCUCUCUGGGACGGUACUGACGCUGAGGUGCGAAAGCGUGGGGGAGCAAACAGG
rnacentral:rRNA from 1 species